CCUACGGGGGGCAGCAGUGGGGAAUAUUGGGCAAUGGGCGCAAGCCUGACCCAGCAACGCCGCGUGAAGGAAGAAGGCUUUCGGGUUGUAAACUUCUUUUCUCAGGGACGAAGAAAGUGACGGUACCUGCGGAAUAAGCCACGGUUAACUACGUGCCAGCAGCCGCGGUAAUACGUCGGUGGCAAGCGUUAUCCGGAUUUGUUGGGUGUAAAGGGCGUGUAGGCGGGAGCGAAAGUCAGAUGUGAAAACUCAGGGCUCAACCCUGAGCCUGGAUUUGAAACUGGGUUUCUUGAGUGCUGGAGAGGUAAGCGGAAUGCCGGGUGUAGCGGUGAAAUGCGUAGAUAUACGGAGGAACACCAGUGGCGAAGGCGGAUUGCUGGACAGUAACUGACGCUGAGGCGCGAAAGCGUGGGUAGCAAACAGGAUUAGAUACCCUUGUAGUC
rnacentral:rRNA from 1 species